rnacentral:tRNA from 1 species
GUUCCUGUAGCGCAAUGGAUAGCACGUUGAACUUCUAAUCCAAAGGUCGUGGGGUCGAAUCCCACCUGGAAUG